UGUCCAGUAACUCCUAUCCCUACCUCCCCGUGGUGCCGCCUGGGGUACGAGUAACCGUAGGGAACAUCGGGUAACCAACCCCAGUGGGACUUUGGUCGUAUGCUGACAGGGAAGG
rnacentral:ribozyme from 1 species